rnacentral:rRNA from 1 species
GCAGGCGCGAAACCUUUACACUGUACGCAAGUGCGAUAAGGGGACUCCGAGUGUGAAGGCAUAGAGCCUUCACUUUUGUACACCCGUAAGGUGGUGUACGAAUAAGGGCUGGGCAAGACCGGUGCCAGCCGCCGCGGUAAUACCGGCAGCCCGAGUGAUGGCCGAUAUUAUUGGGCCUAAAGCGUCCGUAGCUGGCCGGACAAGUCCGUUGGGAAAUCUGUUCGCUUAACGAGCAGGCGUCCAGCGGAAACUGUUCGGCUUGGGACCGGAAGACCUGAGGGGUACGUCCGGGGUAGGAGUGAAAUCCUGUAAUCCUGGACGGACCACCGGUGGCGAAAGCGCCUCAGGAGGACGGAUCCGACAGUGAGGGACGAAAGCUAGGGUCUCGAACCGGAUUAGAUACCCGGGUAGUCCUAGCUGUAAACGAUGCCCGCUAGGUGUGGCGCAGGCUACGAGCCUGCGCUGUGCCGUAGGGAAGCCGAGAAGCGGGCCGCCUGGGAAGUACGUCUGCAAGGAUGAAACUUAAAGGAAUUGGCGGGGGAGCACUACAACCGGAGGAGCCUGCGGUUUAAUUGGACUCAACGCCGGACAUCUCACCAGCUCCGACAGUAGUAAUGACGGUCAGGUUGAUGACCUUACCCGAUGCUACUGAGAGGAGGUGCAUGGCCGCCGUCAGCUCGUACCGUGAGGCGUCCUGUUAAGUCAGGCAACGAGCGAGACCCGCACUCCUAAUUGCCAGCAGUACCCUUUGGGUAGCUGGGUACAUUAGGUGGACUGCCGCUGCUAAAGCGGAGGAAGGAACGGGCAACGGUAGGUCAGUAUGCCCCGAAUGAGCUGGGCAACACGCGGGCUACAAUGGUCGAGACAAUGGGAUGCAACUCCGAGAGGAGGCGCUAAUCUCCUAAACUCGAUCGUAGUUCGGAUUGAGGGCUGAAACUCGCCCUCAUGAAGCUGGAUUCGGUAGUAAUCGCGUGUCAGAAGCGCGCGGUGAAUACGUCCCUGCUCCUU